CCCUCACCAUGACUGCCGCUGCUGGCUCUCCUCCUUGUCUUAAAGUCGCCGUCGAGGAGUGGGCGCCCUUCGUGAUGCUUAUAGACCGUUACUCCAAGCCCCCCAAAUUGAACGGAACCCUCAUUUCUGUCCUGGACAUUAUUGCUCAGAAACUAAACUUCUGCUAUGAGAUUGUGGUGCCUAGGGAAGGUUACUGGGGGGCACAGCUCAGCAACGGCUCCUGGACGGGCAUCAUGGGGAUGGUGGUCCGCAAGGAGAUAGCCAUGUCGGGUACAGUGUUGACCAUAGGUGAAGCGCGAGCUAAGGCUGUUGACUUCAGUGUGCCGCUCUACACUGACCAACUGUCUAUCCUCUACAAACUGCCCAGCAUCGAGGCAGACCUAACCGGGUUCGUUAAGCCUUACACCCUCUCGUCCUGGCUGUUGUUCCUGGCGACAAUGGUGGUGGUGUUCAUCAUGACUUUCUUUGUUCAAUGGAGUCGAGCUCGCCCCCUGCCUCGUCCAUCAUUUGAUGGUGGUAGCGAGAUUGAUGAUGAUGGCGGCAGAACGUCUAUACGAACAGUGAGAAAGCCGCUAGAAGCCGAGAGGAGCGUCCGGGCCAGCCUGUGGACUUCUUGCCUGGGGACGCUGACUGCUCUUCUAGCGCAGUCAUCAUCCUGGUUGCCGCGCGGUGACUCCCUGCGCAUCAUCGCUGGGACGUGGUUGUUGAUGGCCUUCAUCCUGGGGUCUGUAUACCGCUCCAACCUGAAGGCCAUGUUGAUCCUGCCCAAGCUGCGCCUCCCCUUCAACAGCCUGGAGGAGUUGGUCCAGACAGACAUUCCCUGUAUUGUCUUAAAUGGCUCCUUGGUUCACAGCUACAUGAUGCUGGCACCGGAAGGAAAUGUGUUGCACAAGCUGCGCCAGCAGGCGGUGGUGCCCAAAGAUUUCGUGGCCCUAGCCCCUGAUGUCCCACGAGGGAAGUUCGCGUUCCUGGCCAGCGAGAAGGGCCUCUUGUACUUAAUACAUGCUCACUUUGCACUGUCCAGAAAAUGCCCGAUGUAUAUGGCGUCUGAGCCCUUCCUGGCCGCCACCAGCCUCAGCUUUGCCUUCCCAUUUAACUCGUCUCUCAAGCGGCAGGUCGACCCAAUCAUUCAGCGGCUUAAGGAAUCCGGCAUCUUGGAUUAUCUGCACUUCACGGGUAUUAGAAAUGUGGAGAUCUGUUUCAAUAGCAAGUCCUUCGGCAGCUCCACCAACACUCAACGCAGCUUCAAUCUCAGGGACUUCUACGGUGUCUUUUGUGUGUAUGCUGGCGGAAUGUUGGUAGGGCUGGUCUCCUUCCUUUUGGAGCUGGUGUACUCCCCACGUGCUGGAUCACCUGAUACACUUCCUGGUCAUCAUGUUGCUCACACAACUUAAGGCUCAAGUGAAACUCAAGAACCUGCCUCUUAAAACUAGUUACUAUUGCCGUUUCUAAAUUAAAAAGCUGUUGAUCUAAGAAAAUAUUGCAUGUAGUCUCCCUCACGGUCACUGAUUACAAGAUGGUCUCCGAGUCUUCUCUUAAUUCCUUGAGUGCCAGAAGGAAGCUAACAGUGGCUGAAGACAAUAACAUCAUCUCAGGUGGACAAGCUACCGGUCUUUCUCUAUAGUUAUUACGUGUAAGGUUGCUUCCAGGCUCUGUGCAGUAUCCCCCAAACAAACAUACUUAUUUGAUAGUCUUCUGGCUCAAGUUCCUCUCCACUGGUUGAAUAGCUCUGCCGAUAGAUUAUUAUAUCCUUGUGCAGGUUAUUCAAUUGGUGGACAUUUGUUAGUUUAAGAGGAAUCACUUUUAAUGUGAUAAUUAUCUUGAGAUGAGACCCACAGAUGUGUUAAGUGUCAAGAAGAUCCAUUAGGUUUUCAGUGUUUUAGAUUGUUAAGGAGACCACUGUAGGAUCUUUACUCCGUGAUAAUAUUACAGGUGAUCUCAUCAAUGGAUGUUAACCACUAUCUAUUCUACAGGAUUAUUUAGGUAUACAGUAAAUUGCCUAAUGAAAGUCAGGCACUUGUAGAUGGCAUUACCUUGAUGGGUGGCACACUAUGGCGACACACUUCAUCUGGCUGAGGAAACUGUCAGAGAGGAACCCUGGCCAACUCUCCCUCCUAUGGCUCGCCUACACUCCCCUUCUAUCCUAAAUCUGGAAAUACUGUCUAUAGUUAAUCAGAAGCAUGUAGUUACGGUGUUCAUGAUUGCAUUUACUAUUCAGGCAUUUGAAUAAUUUUCGAAAGUCAUAAAUGUUAUUCUGUGAAGGUAGUUUAGGCCAGACUCUUUAUAUGAUUGGAUUAAAUUUAAUUGGCACAUUAAAUUUAUGACUUUCUGGCUGUUAUUCAGUUUUCCAACAGCAUUACACCCUCAAUGUCUUAUGGAAUUCAUGUUAGAAUAAAAAGCAAAAUCUUU
rnacentral:misc_RNA from 1 species